AAAAAAUCGUCUCUACUAUUCUGCAGAAAAAUGAGCUUUUUGGACAAGAAAUUGACAAUACAAUUUCUGCUGAGGAAUCUGGAAUUUAAUCCGCGCUGAUCUCUACUAUUUUUAUUUAAAAAAGGAAAGAGACUCGCUGAAAAUUCAGUUUUAAUGACACUAAAUAACGACGAUUACGUGUUGACAAAGAUUGAUUCAUAUCAUAACUAGUCAUAACUAUCAUCAUUGAAUCAUUAUAAAACUUGUUGAUUAUAGUUAUGAGUUUAUGUGUUCAGUUAUAUAUAUAUAUAUAAAUGUAAAUAUAAUUUCUGCAAUUGUAUAGAGCAAUUAUGAUAAUGAGAAAGACAAAUAAAUCUGUGAAUAGUUUCCUAUUAUUAAUUUGUAAAGGACUACAUUGUUUAUUUUAA